rnacentral:sRNA from 1 species
ACAAUGGUGUAUAUAUAUGAACCCUAACCAAGUGUCGUUAUUUCAACUAGUUAGGCGAAGCUUAGAGGUCUGACGAUUCGAGUGACGCUUGAGACGAAACUAAUAUUACAUGUUGUGUUUUCGGGUCUAGGAGAUUACGGGAUUUGGUCUAAAACUUCCUAAUUUUCCAAAAAUAAAAAAAUUAAAA